rnacentral:rRNA from 1 species
GACGAACGCUGGCGGCGCGCUUAACACAUGCAAGUCGAGCGAGAACCAGGACUUCGGUCCUGGGGACAGCGGCGAACGGGUGAGUAACACGUGGAUAACCUGCCCUCGGCACCGGGAUAGCCCGGGGAAACCCGGAUUAAUACCGGAUGGCCCUUCCGGCUCACGGGCCGGUCGGAAAAGGUAGCUUCGGCCUCCGGCCGAGGAUGGGUCCGCGGCGGAUUAGCUUGUUGGUGGGGUAACGGCCUACCAAGGCUCCGAUCCGUAGCUGGUCUGAGAGGACGUUCGGCCACCCUGGGACUGAGAGACGGCCCAGACUCCUACGGGAGGCAGCAGUGGGGAAUCUUGCGCAAUGGGCGAAAGCCUGACGCAGCGACGCCGCGUGAGGGAGGAAGGCCUUCGGGUUGUAAACCUCUUUCAGGAGGGACGAAGCUACUCGGGUGAAUAGCCCAGAGGGUGACGGUACCUCCAGAAGAAGCCCCGGCUAACUACGUGCCAGCCGCCGCCGUAA